ACUAAAAUGUUUUUAAGAUCUCAAUUCAUAAUUAAGAGUUACAAGUUUUUCUUUCGAAAAUCAAAUAUAAUUAAAAUUUCAGAUAUCAAUAAUAUUAUUAUAAAAAUUAUUUUACAUAUCUAUCCACUGCCAUCUACCCUCUCAAACCCUAAUUAUUUUCUAGUAUCUUCUUUCUCUUUCUAUACAACUAACCCCUUAGCCGACACCACCAUUGUUCUCUCUCUCUCAUAUCGAUGCCACCAUCAUUCGCAAACACAGAGAAGCACUCCGGUCUCUCUCUCCACGACUCCACCACAUGAAAAGCCACUGCAUCAACAUGACCAUUGAUCUCCUGACUCUCUCUUCACAGCAAUCGUUGCGCAUGACAGCAAGGCGCUGCAGAUCAUUGGGGUGUUGUAGAUUGGAGUCGGAGAAGAGAAGGGAUACUUGUUGGUUGUGGCGACCAUAGUGCAAGUGAAUCUAUGAGAUUUGGUCGGUAGGAUUUUAUUGGUUUUUGAGGUGUUUUUUGUUGGUGGUGGUGGUGGUGUAGGUCAGUAGGUGGAUCUGGCGAUGUUGGCGAUGGAUUUUGAUGAUGCUGAAGUGGUGUUUUGGUGGAUCUAGCGCUAUCAACAAUGGUGAGGCGGUGAUCGCAAAGGGUUGUGAUGCAGGUAGUGUUAAUGUUGGUUGGUGGCAUCGUGGUAUUUGUGGAGGAGGCGCGGUGGAGUGGAAUGAAAAGUUUUUGUGACCAACAAAUUGGUUGAUCGUGACCAACAAGGGACCAAUAAAUAAUAUGUAAUAUAAAAAAAUGUGAUUGUGAUUCACAAUUUAUUAAGUUAUGUCUGAUAAAUAAUUUGUGAUCAAUUAAUUUGAUAAUUUAUAAUCGUUAAAUAAAUUGUAACUUAAAAAAAUUGUGAUUUUUGACUGUUAAAUGAAUUGUGAUCUAUAGAAUUUUUUAUUUUGUGAUCGAUGAAUAAAUUGUGACUUCUAAAAUUUUUAAUUUGUGAUCGAAAAAUAAUUUGUGGUCUAUAAAUUUUUUUAUCUAUGAUCGAUAAAUAAUUUAUAAUCAAUUAAUUCGAUAAUUUGUUACCAAACUGUAUAGAACUAUGACCUUAAUAUAUCUAAUUAAUUAAAUAUAUUUUUAAUUCAUUAUUUCAUAAAUAAAACUUAAAAAUAUCUGAUUUUUAAAGCUUAAAACCCUUUUUCUUAAUUUUGAAAUAAAUCUGGCUUGGGCUUGUCUAUUGUCAUUGGUUCCUUGUUUUAAGAGAAAAUUAGGCUUAUUCAUGUAUUUGUUCUCAAAAUUGAACAAUCAAGUAUUUCAUAGAGUGUUUACUGUAUCUCCAAAGAACUCUCUAUUUUAAAGAGUAUAUUCUAUUAUUUGGAGAGGAUUUAUAAAUUUAGAGAGUUAAAAUUUUGAAUUAUUUCAACAAACUCUUUAUAUUUACCAGUUAAUUUUACUACUCCCAAAAAAUGUUUAUUAUUUUUCUCUAUCUUUUAUUUUAACUAACUUUUCUCUAGAUUAUUUUAUUAUUUUUCUACAUUAAAAAUUGAAACAAUUUUACUGCAUUUAAUUAUGGAGAGAGAGUUUGGCUCUGCAAAUUUGGAUAAUUAAACUCAUUCUUUAAAUUAAAAUGAUAAUUUAAAAAGCCUAUUGAAGCAUGAUUUUAAGAAUUGACACUUAAAAUAGAGAGUAUCUCUCAUGUUUAAAAAAUUUCUUUUAGAUUUUCUUAUAUUAUAAGAUGUUGUUUAAAGUUUAUCAACUUUUUAAUUGGUCAAUUUCAAUUUUAACAAUACAUUUAUGAUAUUCACGAUAUUUAUCAGUUUUUCAAUCAUACAUUUUAUCAAUUUUUAUUAAAAUAUUUUAAAACUUUUAUCAAAAGUUUUGACAAAUAGCCAUAUAAAUGUACUUCUCAAAGUACCUCAACUAACUUUUCCUUCCUCCCCCAUGCAUUUUGUGUUGAUUACACACCCCCACCAUCUCCAAUCCUUCUUCUCUUACCACUUCCUCUUUCCAUAGAUUAAGCACAAUCACCACCACCUAUUACAACUUUCACCGUCGUCCCUGAUUAUCAUCACCUGGCCUAUACCUAUCUCACUAGAUUACAAAUCACCCAAAAAUGACCAAAUCCAAAUACGAAAAGUUAAAUCGAAAAUAACAAUAGGUCGAUGUGGUUGUAAGUCGGGCUUGAAGACCAUGACCAUGGUGGUCGAUGAGUUGAUAUUUGAUUUCAAAUGUGAUGUGACUCAUGGUGUUACGUCGACAGGGGCUUGAAGAUUGUAGAUAUAACACUAUGAAUGUGUGGAUUGACAACGACGCUAAGGUUUUGUUAGGUUUGGAUUGUAGAUUUAAGGUUUUUAUGUGGACCGGGUUCUUGUUUUGUAUGACGAGUAAGGAUGGAUGAGUUAGUGGUGGUCAAAUUUUUGGAUUAGUGGUGCUUUUUGAGACUAGAUAUGGCUAAGGCAAGGUGGUAGUGAUGAUGGAGAUGAUAUUGAGGUGGCAAAUUUGAUUACGAACCCGUACAAUUCAAAAUGGUGAUUUGUGGUGGUUAUUGGUUUCACUUGAUGAUUUAUGAUAAAAGGUGGUGGUGAGGAGUGGUGCAAAUAUGAUUACUUGGGAAGGUGGUGGCGGCGAUAAGUGGUGCAUGGAUUCAGGGGCGGAGCCACUAAUUGAAUUCUCUAUCCAGCCUAAAGAGAGAAGCCCAAUUGUGCAAUGUCAUGACCCGUUUUAGACCCAUUCAUAUCAAAAUUCAAUUGAAUCAAUUGUUGACCCAAACGCAUUCAUUGAUUUCAAAAUUUCUACCCUUCGUGACUUUGUUUGUGACGAUUUCGCACUUCGCCACCCACUUCCCUCUCCACCGGUGACAAAGCCCGCCAUUCCCUUCCCUCUCCUUCAACCGUCGUCUCCGACAGUCGUCACAGUACGACCAUCGUUCCCUUUCCCUCUUCGACAGUCCAUCAUUGUAUAUCUCCUACUCUAAACUCUCAUCUUGACAUCUCACAUCUCUGACUCCGACUCCGACUCUACAUCCUCAGCUCCACCAAGGCGCCAAGUGCCAAUGCCAACCAGCUGACCCGGCAAAAGAAGAAGCCAGAUUCUAGAAAGCAAAAGGCGAAGCCCCAAUUUUUUUUUAUUUUUUAUUUUUGGUUAUUUCAAUUAGUGUAAAUUGUAAUGAUAUUUGUUUUUUUUUCUUCUUUUCUUUUUUGUUUUUUUUUUUGUUUUUAACAUAUGAAAUUAGCACUUCGUUCUUUAAUUGUUCGAAGCGGCACAAACUUCUAGUGGACCACCAGUUCAUUAUUACCUCUAGGCUCUGGUUCUCUGGGAAUCUGUGAUUGCAAGUUCAAGUUGCCUAGUAUUUGGAAAUAGCAUAUAUUGCAUUAUGAAAUUGUGAAUUGGAGUAUUGAACAGUGAAUUGAUUAAGUGAACUUGUGAAUUGCACUAGACAAAUGGUAUAUAUAGGUAUUGGUGUAUUGCAUUGUGAAUUGAUUAUGUGAAAUUGUGAAUUGCACCGAGUUUUGUGAGUUGCUUCCAGUAUUUGUGAUUCAUUUGACAUCUCGAAUUACUCCCACUCCUAGUAGUAAUUGGGCGAUCAGUGGAUGAAUGAUAGCACAAUUGAUUAUGUGGAGAAAGAUAUAUUUUUGAGGCUCAAUAAUGAAGUUAUUAUACAACGAUAUCAAAGUAUGAAAACUCGCAAAGAACAAGUGUAAUAUAUAAAUUAUAUCGUUUUUAGUAUUGAUGUACUAUUGUUUUAUUUUUUUAUCGUCAUUAAAUCCAUGACCAAAACCUCGACAUUCGUCUUCGAAAAAAUUUUGCCCGCACUGAACUAAAAUCCUAACUCCGCCCCUGCAUGAAUUAAUAAGUUAUUAUAUAAAAAAAUUACACAUAUUGUAACAGUAAUGUAUGUAAAAUUGGCAUAUUGUAACAUGACUUAAAUGGAAAAUUGGCAAAGAAUUGGGAAGGUGGUGGCAAUGAUGACAUCGAUGGUGGUGGGUGGCUAAUAAGUUCAGUAUUUUAAUAAAAAAUACAGUAGCAUAGUAUAAAUUAACUUUUCAAAUAAAUUACAUAUAUUAUAAUAUGAUUUAAAUGUAAAAUAACAUAGAGUGUAGAAUCAAUAUAAUUUAAUAAAUUUAGGAUUUUCAAAUUACAAUGUAAAAAAGUUAUAUCAACAUAAAAAAAAAUUAAAUAAACUUUAACCAAAAAUAACAUAUUUGAAGAUACCUGAUUUUUUAAAAUACUUUUAUUGUAAUGUUGAAUAUUUAUUAAUACUAGUCAAAGUUCAAUGUUCAUUGCAUGUUAUUUUAAAAUAUUUUAUAAGUGCUGUAAAAUUAAUAUUUGAUACCAAUUUAUUGGAAGAUUUGAUGAGUUUCAGGCGAAUUAAUUAAUAGAGAAAUUUAAGAGAAGAAAAUUAUACUCUCAAGACUCAAUUUCAAUGAUUCAAUUUUUUUGUAGUGAUGAAAUACUAUAAAUGAGCAAUUUUUUAUAUUACAUUUGAUACAUAAAAAUUAAUUGUUGAUACAUAAAUUUAAAUACUCAUUAAAAAUUCUAGAUACAUGAAUAUGAAUCAAUUCAUCUAUAAUAACCAUAGAUUCAUGUAAUUCAAAAUUCAUUGAAUCUAAAUUAAUGUGAAUGUUAGUUAAUUGAGAAUUAAUAACACAAAUUUCAUAAACGACAAUAAUUAUGUAGUAUUUAUUACAUAUCGAAAAACAAAAAGUAGGGUAUUAUUGAAAUAAUUGAAUUGUAGAAAGGGUUAAAAUCGUCCAAAAAAUGAUCCUCCUUUAUGUGAUACUUUAAUAUAUUAUAGAUGGAAAAUUUUUGGUGUACAUUAUGAAUAACAUAAUCCAUAAUGCACACAUGGCGCUCCCUAUUGGAGGGGCGCCGGGUGACACUAUAAUGUACAUCAAGUCUAACCCAUUAUAGAUACUUGAUUUUAGAAAUUAGACCCCAAAUGUUCCUUAGUUAUAUAAUUAGCCCUUGUUUUUAGGAUAUUUCUCCUUGCACAGGGUCCUGUGCAAAUAGCACAGCCCUUGUUUUUAUGUAUAAGAGUGCUUGGGAUACUGGGGAAAAGCUGUACAGAAUUUUUACAAGGUGACGCAUCAUUUUCUUAUUGGAAGUUGGCAAAAAAUUAAAAAAAAAAUUGCAACCAUACAAGUAAUGCUAGCAUUACACCUGUAAACCCCUUAUACAAUUUUCUCUUGUACAAGGUGAAUAACCGUUUACAGAUACUUGGGGAAAAUAGAUGGCUUUAUACAAGCAAAUAACUUCUCCUGAAAAUUUUCAGUGAACUCCGAAAUCUAUAUAUGUAUCCGACAAAUUUACGAAACUUAUAGGUUCAUAUUAAAAUUUGCUCAGUCUUUCACCGGUGAUACGAGAAGACUCACUAACGCUCAUCAAGUAUGUCUCAACUACAAUUAGAGAUAUCAACAAGUCGAAUAGAGUCGAUUCGAGCCGGCUCGUCGAAUCUUGAGGCUCGAGCUCGGCUCGGGUAAAAUGUGAGAGCCUUUUUUGGGGCCUUUCUGAGUCGAGCGACCGAGCCGAGCAGGCUCGUCUUUUUCUUUGCUCUUUUUAAAUUUUUUUUUUCUUUUAAUUAAGAUGCCUUAAAAGGCAACACAAUGCUGCCUCCAAGUUCUCUUUUUCUUUUUCUUUUUUUCUCUUUUUUUAAUGGCUUGCGGGUCGGCUUGGGCUCGGCCAGUUCAUCCAAAUUGGGGCUCGGCUCGAGCUUAGGCUCAGUUCGUUCGAGCCUCAAGUCGGCUCGGCUCGGCUUGGACUUUUUCUGGGUCGAGCCACGAGCGACCCGAGCUGACAAGUCAAAUUGUCGUCCCUAACUACAAUAGGUUUAGCAACAAAAUCUCAAAUUCUAUGAGUUGAAAUUUGACUUAAGGAACAAUAAUUUCGUAACUUCCUUAUCCAACAACCAAAUGACAUACUAUUUGACCCUCAAGCCUCUAUCAUGCUCGAUAUAAUCUCAUUGCUAGUCUACCUCCUGCUAACAUGUAGAUUCAUUGUAACCAUAUAUAUUCAAUGAUUGGAGAGGAUGAUUGAACUAUGUAAAUACAUUAGUAUGCCAUACCAUUGUUGUUGACCUAUGGUUGACUUCUCGUUUUGAUUAUCACAAACAACUCACAUUUAUUUCUAACAAGUUUAUUUAAGUGUUGAUGGACAACGUGCAAACCAAAUUUUGAAAAGGCAAAGCGGUGAUCAAAUAAAAGAAAAUUCAAGGUGGUGAAGAAGUUUAUAAAAGCAUAAGUCUGGCAUGCACGUCAAGACAAAGAGCCAUAUUGAAGAUAAUAGACUUAGAACCUUUUAAUCUCAUAUGUAAAGGUAACAUGCUUCAAUAGUCUGGCAAUAUAUCAUAAAAAAGGCUCAAGUGUCGGCUUUAUACACAAAAAAAUUAUUAUUGCACCAAAAUACUUGCAAAAUAUUUAUUUCAAAAUAACGGAUUCGAUCUUAUACUAUGAAAUGAUAAUUUUCUUGAAAAAUCAUAUAUAAAAAUCUCUCAAAGUAUUGCCUUUAUCAAAAGAUCGGAGAAAAUUAUUUGCUACUGUAGCGGACAUUCGGUAGGUCUGGUGGACGUCCGGUAGAAAAACGGUAAAAAAUUUUAACAUUUCUGACUUUUAAAAAAAAAAAAGGCUAGUGAAUCGUCCGGUACGAUAGCGAACAUCCGGUAGAACAGUUUUUUUGACAGUUUCACUGCUAUAAAUACCUCUUCACUUCCUCAUUUGCAAUAACUUUUUUUGAUCAUUAAGUGAGGCUUUUAUUGAUUUCAACCACUCUUUUAAUCUUUAGAAUAUAAAAAAUUUACAUCUUGAAAAACUUUUGAGUGGUCAAAAUUAUUAUAAAUCUUUCAUCUCGUCAAAAGUUUUUCAAAGUAACACUUGAGCUUGCAAUCUAUUAAAGUGUCAAGCUUACUUCUCUCUCAAUGCUCAAUUGUGAUUAUUCCUUUUAUUAAGAGAGAAGUUUUCACUUGUAAUAUCUCCUUCUCUUAUUUUUGAUUGUAGGUCGUGUUGAGGUCCCGAAAAACUCAACAUUUUAAAAGGAUCGGUGCUCCUUGGUCAUGAGUCACCGAAAGCUUUGUAGAAAAUUGGAUUGCACCAUAAGUCAAUCAUAUUUAGUGAAAAAAGCUUUGCUCGUGACGAAGAGUUUGAUAACGGGGGACGUAGAUCGUGAUUGAAUCGAACCUCCAUAACAUAUCGUUUGCAUCUUCUUUCCCUUUCUCUUGUUAUUUUUCAAAGUUAUUUUCCCUGCUCAUUAUCUUAUUUGUAAAUUGAUUAUAUUAGCAUUUAUUUUCGAAAAAGAUUUAGAUAACCAAUUCACCCCCUCUUGAUUAGUCGUUCUUGGGCUUUCAAUUGUAUACUCUCAGUAUUUGAAUUUAAUAUUUAAACUAUCAAAUCAUGAUGUAAAGAUAAAUUUUCACUGGAAAAGACUAGCUAGUAAGAGUCAUCAAUUGGAAAAGCAAUCGGCAUGUAUAUGUUGUUCUUGAAGAAGAUAGAAUUGUAAUGAGGCCAUGACUACUCAAAGGUCAUCGUCUUUCCAAAAUUUCCUAUGAUGAUAGCUUGCCCUUUUGUCUUGCAUGUGCAUGCAGCCUUGUUCACUAUUCAGUGAACAAGGCAUGAACAUGAAAGGUCUAUCUUGUGACUUUAUAACAACUAUGAAUGGUCAAUAUUAAAGUGAAAUUCUAUUUUUUGUGUUUGUAAUGCGAUGUCGACUCUAACCCCUUCCCAAAAUUUUGAGUCCCUGUUGAGCCAGAUGGUAUUAUUUGACCUAACAAAAGGCAUAUGAGCCCAUGUUUUAAGGAUGACCAUUGCAAUAAAAUCAAUGUUCACAACAUGGUGGUCCGACAGGGUUUCGCUUUAUAAGAUAAUGCAAAGACAAAAUAAGCAUUAAGCAAAUCCUUACAAUUAAUAUCGAGAAAAUACCAUUCAAAACUUAAAAAGACCAGACCAUGGAGUUCUUAUUUAAACCCUGUUUGGUAGGGAUUAAAAUUAAGUUUUAAUAAAUUUUGAUAAAAGUUGAUGAUAUAUAUGGUUGAAAAGUUAUGGAUCCCAUGAAAUAUGUUAUUAAAGUUAAUUGUUGAUUUUGACAUAAAUUAAAAUUUAGAUUUUAAUUUCUACCAAACAAAAUUUCCUCUUUCCUUUUAAAAUGGCACAUUUAGUUUUCGAAGUCCGUAUUCAAAUAAAAGACGAUGGAUAACGGUACUCAGCUAUCAUAGAUCAAUAAUGAAGCACAUAUUUCAAGAUUACAAAGGCUACAUAAGAGUUCAUGUGCUUAUGAGUUUAUCAUCAUCUAAUAAUCGAAAAAAUGAUGAAAAUUAUAUAUUUUAUGUACAAUACCUAUCUUCCUAAUCCAAAAAAAUUGCAGUAUUUUAUCUAAUGUGUGGUCCAAAAUCUACCCUCUUUUAUCAUUCUCUAAACACCACUCCACCUGAUAAGUAUAGUUUCUACACUUAUUCGGGAUCCUAAAUGAUGAUAUUUUAUUAUUUUUUGAAUAUAUUAGUGUUUAAUUUAUUGUUUAUUGCUUGUAAUAGAAAAAAAUUAAUGUUUGGAUGAAGAAUUGAAAGAAAUAAUGGAAAAGGGCUAGAAUGAAGUAAAUUCAAAGUUCGUGGACUAAAGUGAUAAUACUUAAAACUUGUGACGGACUUCAAAUUGAUGAUAGGUGAUUGCUAGGAUCAAUUGAAUGCAAUAAGAGUAAAAAAUGAAUAAAAUAUAAUCAAAAGAUAUUUACAAAUUAAUUUCCAACCACAAAAGGCAUAUUCAAAAUUUUCAACCAGAGUUUAAGAUCCAUUUUUUGAAUACUAAAUGUUCGAAUUGAAAAAAUUGUACUUCAAGAAGAACAGCGACCCUUUGAGUUAGUUUUUCAAUACACUUUAAAUAACCUCACUUGGAUAUUAGGAAAGACCAAAAUACUAAAAGCUGUGCAGAGAUAAAAUCAUGCGCACGCGAAGGCAACUUUUUUUAUUUUAUUGGAACUCUUUUAGAAGGCAAUUUGGACAUGAAUCUUAAUCUAAUUUCAUCAUAUAAUAUACAAUACAUGGGCAGCCGUUGAGGGAUCUCUCUCUCUCUCACCUCUCAAAUUAGAUUCAUAUUAUAAAGUCAUUCAAGAAUAAUGGACAAAUUCAACCCAAGUUGGAGAGGGGAACAAAUAUAGCAAGUGAUUGAAUGAAGAAACAUCAAGAACUCUAAGACUCAAAUCUUGAGGCUGAUAAUCAAGAACAAUAAUUGGACCGUGGCAUCUCUUUCUUGUAUUUAUAAAUUUUGGGUGAUAUUCUUCCAUUCUUCUUGUUGUUUUAUCAUUAGAAACAUGUUUAACUAGAUUUCCAUUGUAUUGGAUGAUUGAUGUACAUUUUUGUGCAUUUAUUUUAAUUCAAGUCGAUUAAUUUAGUAUUUCUUGAUUAGUUUUGCAUUUCUAUCAUAUUUAUUUGAUUGCUUAGCUACCGGUUAGAUAAUAAGUUGCCUGUUAUAGUGUAGGAAUAUCCAAAAUGAGUUUAGAACACGACAAAACUAAUAUGUGUAGUUAGAAUUAGGAAUAAUCUCUUUUACACAUGUAGUCACUUUGAUAAUCCAAACUAAAUGCAUGAUUUCAUAUGAAUUCGGAUUAGGAUUAGGAUCGGUGUAAGUAUUAUGCCCUAGGUCCAAUCGACUUUGGACAUAAAUACUUUCAUAUAUAAUUAAUGCAAUUAAAUGGCAGAUCUAUUAUUUAAUUAAUAGACAAUUAAAUAAAUAAUAGAGUCCGUAGAUUCAAAUAUUUGUAAUUUGUUAAUCACAAGGAGUUGUGAUUGUGAGAUACAAAUUACAUCUGAUUGAAUUUUAAAUCUUCCGUGGUCGUAAGUAAUAACGAGAUACGGAUAUCGUUAUUACGGAUAGACCAUCACAUGUGGCAUUUCUCACUUGUGAAGUAAGUAACUGAUCUCACAAGUUAAAGUGUGGUGACACUUAAAUGAACAUGUGGAUGUUUUGUUAUAGAACAAAAUAUUGGAGACCCGUCGAGAGAUUCCACAUGGAUAACUAUCUGAGUGUCGGUGGUUAAUCUCUAACGUUCGAUAGUGAAAUUGGUCCUUUGACUUGAGGUCGUCAUGGUACCUUAUAUGAGGACAGUCAUACUUUGGCGGUGUUGGAUGUUGCUCUGAAAAGGGCCGCUAAUACGACAUCGUUCGGGUACGUCAAGAAUCGUAUGAAGGUUGUGAUUGAUCAAUAAAGGAUUCGUCACUCUUAGAUAGUAGGAGAUUAUGAUCUGCGUUUCAUUCAAUUAAGUCAAUGAUGAAAUCCUUGGCCAAGGUGUACUCAUAAGUCGAAAAGGAGUUUUCGAUUUAUAUUGACUUAAUAGUGGAGUGAAAGAUAUGAUCGAUGAUCGAGAUUGACACAACUCCAUAUCUCGUAAUUGAUCGGAUCAUAUUGACGAAGGGAUUAUAGUUUCACGGUAAACGAACGAAUUUGGUUUUGUCAUACCACAUGACAUUUCCCGUCACAUGUAUUGCCCUGACACAUUGCUAGAUGUCAAUCAGGGACGGCGAAUGUGAAUUGACGAUAAAUUAAAAGGGUGUUUUAAUUUAUCAAUUUUGAUUAGAUCAAAAUAAUAUUUCACGUCGUUAGGCAUCGUGGUCGGGAACCUAAUGGGUCACACACAAAAGAGAAUUGGAAGAUUGCAAAUUGCCAAUUGGUUAAUUUAACAAUCGUUGAAUAAAUUAAUUAAUUGGAUUUGUUAUUUAUAUUUUCGAAUUAAUUAAUUGGAUUAAUUAAUUCACGGACCGGGUUUAAUUAAUUGGAUUAAUUAAUUAUUGGACCGGACCGGACCGAGCCUGUUUGGGUUUAUAUAAAUACAUAACUAGGGUUUGAGGUCCAUUAAGGUUUUCAUUGUUCUUGCUGGCACAAGAGAAAACCCUAGAGGCUGCAAUCAUAUUCUCUGUGUGGAUCACCGUUGGAGGCUGGAGAAUUGGACAGCUGUGGUGGCAAAUCAAGGUUGAUUGAACGAAAAGAAAAGCAAAAGAUUGCAGAUCUGACAAAAGGUACAAUCUUAUCACAAUUCCUAACCAAACACAAUGAGAUCUAUUGGAUGGGAAUCGAAAUAAUUUAAUUUUCCGCUGUGCAUGUAUAAGUAGAUUCCCAACAAUCGGAUCGUGUUAAUCAUAGAUUCCUGUGUCUUGAAAAAGAGCAUUGAAUAAUUUAGCGUUAUCAAUCAUCAAAAUGCAAGAAAUUAACUAUAUUAUGACCAAGAGUUAAAAUAAAUGGCAAUAGAGGGAUUAUAGAUUCCAAUACAUGCAUCUCACAAUUGAAAACUUCACUUUUAUUACUUCUUAUAGAUUGAGCGUACUAUAGAAAACCAAACAAAUCACUCUCUUGAUGUCAUGCACACUUGAAUUUAGUAAAAGUUAUUGAACUAAAUAGUAUAUCUUAUUUCUCGUGGGAAUGACAAACUCAAAGUUCGUUAUUUCUAUUCAUUGUACAGUGAUCCCAUACGCUAUCAAGUUUCAAUGUAACACCACCCUCCAAGGGAGAUAUCUCAGUUUGGAGAUCACUACUAUCUUCCAAAUCUGGAGAUAAAGUAUACUAUAUAGUAUUGGACAGCAUCAAAGAAAGAAAGAAAGAAAAAUAAAAAUCUCGUCUAUCGUAUUGUUCUCUGUCCAGUUCAUCCUUGUAGCUAGCUCUAAUUGUGUAUAGGAGGUUUUCUUCUUGCUUGAGAAUAAUCCAUUCCAGCUAUGUCCAAAAUGCCAGGGUAAGGCUCUGCCACAGGCUGCUGUUUUUCAGUUACAGGUGAUGAAUUGCUCCCAGGAAUUUUUUCACUUCUUGAUUUGCCCUCUGAUUUGGUACGAUCUUUAUUUCCUUCAGUUUUGUCAUUCUGUACACGCAAAGCUAAUCAUAUAAGAGAGAAGAAAAAAAUGUACACGCUUACACUAUAAUAAACAAGAUUUAAUUUCUUGUUUUGAUUUUAAAUGAGCCAAAAGAGUUUUGAUUUGAAACUAUGCUGGACUAAACAUUGUUUUCUAACCCUUAAAAACCCACCUUAAUCAUGGCGUCAGUGCUGGAAAUAUGGGUACUUGUCUUGGUCAUAAGUUUUCUAUCAUUUCUUCCUGCAAACAAACUCUAGAAGUUGAGUAUAAGAUUUUUCUCAAGUCUCUCACAGCAAAACGAAAACCAUGACAUGUUUGGUUGAUCCACGGUCGAGAAAUAAUCAAUGAAUAUUAGGUUGGGGAAAAAAAAUAGAUCCUUAGUAAUUACCUGAACCGUGACUACUUUUGUAAUGGACAACCUCUUCAACAACAACAUUAAUUCUUCUGUCCGGAAUACUUUCCUGCUGAAUUACCAAAAUAUCAUAUUCAGAUUAGACUACAUCAGAUAGUACAUAUAAUUCCUUCAUUUGAAAUUACUCAAAAUUCAACAAUAACAGCCUCUGUGUGUGUACUUACAGGAAUAUUAUGAUGAUGUCUAGUCGAUACAGAUUCUCUUGUCAAUCGUAAGCCUUCAUCAGAAUAGGAGAGAUAAAUCAAAACAUUGCAAUUAUAAUGCUGUAAACGAAUAACUUAAUGAGCUGUACUUGGGUAAUUUUCGACCCACAAUAAAAAAACAAUAUUUUGCGACGUUCAAAAAAUGUUGUAAAAGACCUUAUGCAACGUUUGGACAUAUGUUGCAAAUCUCGAUACUGCCGUAAAGUGGAAGGAUAUGGCAGCGUCUUUUUGAAUAUUGCUAAUAUAUAUACAUAUAUAUUCAUAUGACCACUACUUGUGGUUAGCUAUUUUGACUUGGGAAUCAAGUCAGGGAGCGAAGGGACUACUCGACCCAAUAUAUAUGUACGUACGUAUACACAUACCUUGAGCUUCAUGAAGCAUUAAAAUUAGCAGAGAUAUAAGCAGCAGCCAGGACUUCAUUUGGAGAAUUAAAGGAUUUUUGAUAGAACAAUCGGAUUUUGGACAGAUUUGGAGUACUUGAUGAAGAGGGAAAUGGAAGGGAAUGUGGAUAUGUUGUGUGUGUUUAUCCUUCCCUCCCGAAGUUCUUAAUACUAUAUUUUGUGCAUUAAAGCUGGUGAAUACAUGCAACUUGUAUAUCUAUAUGUAAGGCAUAAGGGACCCAUGGCGACGACAGUAAUGAAGAGCCAACAAAUAGCUCAUUUAAUGUGACAUUUGAAAAGUCAAAAGAGCUUUCGAGAUCCAAAGCUUCUUUUGAACCCCUUCUGAAUAAUUUUAUACAAGUACUUUUAAUUAGAAGAUUUUUUAGAAGAAGCUGAUCUAACUUAACUUUUUUUAAAAGUACUUUUAGAAUAAAAAGUUUUUUUUAAAAUAAAAAUUAAAGUAACUUCUUCCAAAAAUUCUUCUACAUGGAAUAAAAGUAGAAGUCAUAUCGAACGGGCCCAAAAAAUACACUAGAUGUAUGACAUGCAGUGUGAAAAUGGCAAUCGAGAUUAGCCUUGUUUGGUUUGGAUUAAAAUCAAAUUAAAAUCUCAAGUUAAAGUCAACAAUUUAUUUUUCAACUAUAUAUUUCAUCAAUUUUUAUCAAAAUUUACUAAAAAUCUGAUAAUCUUUAGGGGAGAUUUAAUGGAGGUUCAAGUCUUCCUGAAACUGCAAGAACAGAAAAAUAAAUUCCCAACAAGACGUGUCUUUAGAAAUGACAAGAAAAUGUGGAGUGGUGUUCUGAUUUUCCUAUAUUUCCAUCACUGUCCGAACCCUACAUGGAUAGUUUGUCUCCCUUAAACAAUAUUCCCAAAAAUCAGUAGAUCUGCUCAGUAAUUACACUGUAAAAAUGAAGUUUUACCAUUUCAUGUAGCUUGUCGGUCUUCUACCUCUUUCGUAUAGUAAAAAAUUAUAUGUAUAUUUUUUCUUUGUGUUAAUAAUGGUAGAAACAUUUACGAGCUAUAUUCGCAAUUGCUUGAAUCGUAUUGUACUUCGGAUAUUUCAUAUUGAAUAGGAUAUAAAAUACAAAUAAAUGUCUUGUCUGUUUUUAUUCUCUAAUUUAUUUUUAGCAUUUGUUUUAUCCUUAUUUUCUAAAAUUCAUUUUUCUCCAAUUCAUUUUCGAUCAUAAAUUCAAUAAAAUUAACAAUUUUUAUCAAUUUUGGAGAUCACAAAUUUCAUAAAUUUUUAUCAAAAUUUACUAAAAAUUUGAUUAUUAGCUGAACCAAAUUUUGACUUUCGUAUUAUUCAUGAAUUUAGCAUGUUGAACAUGUCUUUAAUUACAAUUUCAAGAAUACGAUAAUUCACAAAAAUACCCCCAUUACCUUGAUUUGAUAAUCUCAAUUUAAACGUUUUAUUAUAUCACACGGCUGUUAAUGCACGUACACAGUCCCAUGAUUAGAACUUAUCAAUUCGACCAUAGUAGAAAUUGGACGGGACACAACUUGAGAGGGUCCAUUUGAUUUAUUGAGGAAAAUUACAAAUUUGAGGUUAUUAAUAAAUUUAUGGGUUUCAUUCAGUCCCUCGUCCCUAUUUUAUAAAAUUCAUUUUUUAAUUUAUAAAAUUUAACAUAACUAACAUGUCUUAUUUAAUCAUUGAUGAAUAAUGAAUUUAAUUCAAAUAUUGAGAUUUAACAUAAAUUUAUCCAUUAAUAAAUUAAUGUAUCAUGUCAACGAUACAUAACAUGUUUUAGACUAUUAUAUUAAAUUGAAACUUUAACUGUUAAAUUAAUUUAAUUUUACUAAAAAUUCAAAUAAAAGAGUUUAAAAUUUGCCAAAACGAAAUGAAAAUUGAGAAACUGUUGAGGCAGUUUAAUAGUAAAUGAGGUUGAUUGAGUGGAUGAAUGGUAAACUGUCAGCUUCUCCCCCCAUACAUCGCCCUUUGAUUAUGUUUCCAGAAUCCACGUGGACGUCCAAAUCUGGGGUCCCACAUGAAACUGACGUGGCAAUGUUUCAUGUGGACGUCGACUGCUCAGGGACAGGAAAACAUUAGAUUUGUGAUCGUGGCUAGAGGGCGGUGGUCCAAGGAUCGUAGAUAGGAUGCAAUCCUCGAAUUUUAGCCGAAGGCCAAGCCCAAUUUAAAAUUUUCAAAUAUAAAAAUAAAUUGUAACUUUUUUUUUCUAUAUAUUAGCCCAUGCGAAAAAUAAUAAUUUAUCCUCCCAUGGCUCCAUGCUUGAGUAGAUCAAAUUUAACUCUCUCUUUUUUUUUUCUUUUUUUUUUCAUUUGAAUUGCUUUUAAAGUAAAUUAACGAGCUUUCAUGUUUAUAUGUAUUCAAUCUCAUGGGGAAAUCCCAUAUAACCCAAUAUAUCUGAUAAGUCGCACUAUACAUCAAUCCAGGAUGUAAUUUGAGAUUCUCUCGCUUGACAAAUAGGAUUUUUAACACAAGAUUUCCCUUUCUGUAGAAAAGGCCCGUAUCUAUAAUUAUGAUUGCAGCGUUACGAGUUUGCUACAUUCUUACACAAAUACCCUAUAUUUUGGGAUAGUUUUGAAAAAGCAUGAUAAACUUGAAUUAUAUGAUAAUUGCUUACAGUUCACAGCCAAUUAUAUGCCCAAACCUACGGACUUCUCCCACAAAUAUCAGCUUCCAAUUUAAAAAAAUCAGAGGGAAAUUGAAAGGGAAAAAGAAGAAGAAGAAAGAAACUACACAAAUCAAGCAAAAACAAAAUCGAGAUUGCUUCAACAUUUAUUCUUCAAAGAUAUCUUCCACAAAUCUUGAAAUACACAAACAAAAUUACAGUUUUUUUUUUUUUUUGACUCGUUUUAGUACUUUCUUAAUUCUAUUAUUUUAAGAUCGUUUAGUGCUAUAUUUGCAUAGAUUAUGAAAGCAACAACCAUAGUUAUCAAUUUCCAGCUGAAUAAUCUCUCACUUAUAAAUUUUAAUCAUCAUAGUACAUUGUCUAUCUCAUUUUUAUUUGAAUUUCGUGAUUAGGUUUAGUUCGAACUUUAUAAUGUAAAUAAUUGACAUUUAUGAAGUUUCUUUUUGAUGAUUUUGCUACUGUAAUUGGGAACAUGUUUGAAAAUAACAUUAUGAACUUGAGAAGAAAAUGAUUGUGUUUAACAUAUGAAAAAUUAGCUUUGGAUCAGUUAAAAUGAUGCAUACAAGGUAUUUGACUAUAGGAAAAUGUAAAACUAAAAAAUAGUCACAUUAUCUUAUUUGAGCAAUUAAAUAGAUGCAUAUGUGUACAUUUUUAAAAUUUUGAACAUACAAAUUCAAGCAUUGUUUUAUGCUAAUACAUAAAAGAAAAUUUUGAAUUAAUUAGAUUGAUACAUACAAUGUAUUUGUUUAAGAAGAAUGUGAAAAACUGACAUUCUGCCACUUUUCUAAAAAAAAUUACAUUAUCUCAUUGGAACGAUUAAUUGGAUGCAUAUGUGUGCGUUUAGAAAUUUGAACAUAAAUUCAAGCCUUAUUUUAUAUUAAUACAUAUGAAAAAGAAAUUUGAAUUAAUUAAAUUAAUGUAUGCAAGGUGUUUGCUCAAUGAGAAUGUGAAAAAAUAUUAUCAUUUUUCUAAAAAUAAAAUCACACUAUCUAAUUGGAAUAAUUAAUUAGAUGCAUGUGUGAGUUUUUUUUUUUUUUUUUGGAAAUUUUAACAUACAAAUUCAAGCAUUGUUUUUCUGUUAAUGCUGUUGGGAUCGAGGGGUUGUAAAGAAUGAAGUUAAUAACGCGAUAUGAAGUUAAUAUGGAUUGCAACAAUAUAAUAAUAUAUAUCAAUGUUUAAAGUAAAGAAGAAAAAUAGAAUUUAAGCAGAGUAACGAUGAAUUUUAUUAAACCUGACAAUAUGGAGAGAAUUACAACGACACAGCAAUUUGGCUUAAAUUAAACUGAAAGAGAAGCCACAUAUUUAUAGUACACAAAUUAAAUCCUAAAACUAGGCAAAAGAUGGAAAGUAGGUUACAAAAUGCGUAAAAAGGAAAAAAAAUAAUUGUCACGUUCAAAGAAGGUGAUUUUCUUUCCUUUUUCAUAGACCCAAUUUGAUUCUCUAGAAAUCAAUACACAUCAACCCAACCCCUAAUUUGGGGCAUAAACUUGAAAUCUCCACCUUGACCCAGAUUCUGGUGCAACGAGCGAAACUCAACAAAAUUCUCCACCUGAGAAAUAAACUCAUCUCCAUCGAAAUGAACUGGCUAAUCUUCUCAACACAGUAACCAAAACUCUCUAUCACCAAACCAUCUUCCUCUGCAAGGCAUCCACAAGCGACACAUGAACCCAAAUCUUGGGUUCCCAAAAUUCCACCAAGGAAUUACUGUUGACCAAAUAGGGUCGAAGCACACCUUGUAGCAGACACCAAACUAAGUGCUUGAUCAGAAGGCCCCUUGUCAGAACUGUCACCUUCAACGAUCCCAAAAGCAUCACAGACAUCAAUAACACCACCGUACCUACGCUCCAUGAGUCUACCCCUGACAUUUGAACACAGUGCAUUCGCUGAAAUUGGUAGCAAAGCAGAAUUACCAACGCUCUCCCUAGCAAUGUUCUGAACCGACCCAGAGCCCGUCACAAGAGGUACUGUACCAAACUGUAUAUCCACCACGGUACUGAACUUGUCCCGAUGUCUCAAAACUGGUUCUGCACUUCCCUGCAAUAUGUACAACAGGGAUCUCUUCCGUCCCUCCAUUACAACCUGGACACCCCUUCGGACCUUCAAAACUCCACCUUCACCAGAGAAUUUAUGUCUGAAAUAAAUUCCUAUCAGAACAUAUAUGAUGCUAACAUACCGAAUCAAGAAUCCACUCCUCGUCAGGCUUAGAUUCCACGUCAGAAACCACAAUCAACAUCACAUCUCUGCCAUCCGAAAAAUCCUCAGUCACAUUAGUCUCGUCCGAAUUCCAUGAUUGCCCCCUAUGAUUUGCAGCUAAAUCAUCUUUAGCCUUCAACUUCUCACAAUCCUUUUUCAAGUGUCCUCUCCGUCUGCAGUAGAAGCAAUUCACAUUGCUGCUUUCCCUAAAUCUAUCCUUCCAUCGACCACCAUGAAAUACAAGAGCUUCCCCAUCACUUGAUGUAGCUCCAAUCAGAUGCUUCAGCUUCUCCUUUGAAUGUAUCAUAGACAUCAUCUAUAGUCAACGUAUCAUGACUGUACAAUAUGGUGUCCUAAAACAACGCAUAAGAGCCCGACAGCAAACAUAACAGGACCAAGGCCAGAUCCUCUUCAUUAUAUUCCAACGUCUCCAAAUCUGUGACAAUUUCUUUGAACACGGAAAUAUGGUUUUCCAAUAACCCUCCUUCCACCAUGCGAUGGGAAUACAACUUUUACUUUAGAGCCAGUUUGCUAGUAAGACUCUUGUUCAUGCACAACUAUCCCAGUUUCAACCACAAAGCAGCAGCCGUUUUCUCAUUCAAGACAUCUUGUAGAAUAUUGUUGGAUAGAUGGAGAUGAAUCAAUGACAAAGGGUUCCGAUCCUUCCAUUGUUUCUCCUCCGUUGUCCAAUUAGCUGGCAUAUUCUCAAAACUCAGCAACACAUCGUCCAACUCCAAUUGUGCCAAAACAUCCCUCAUCUUUACUUGCCAUAACGAAAACCUUAUAUUGAGAUCAAGCAGCGGAAUAUCAAACUUCAUGGCAGCCAUCUCUAAAAAACUUCAACCAAUCCACAGAAGACCGAAGCUCCAAUGCCACUUGUUAAGACUGAGGGGUUGUAAAGAAUGAAGUUAAUGACGCUAUAUGAAGUUAAUAUGGAUUGCAACAAUAUAAUAAUAUAUAUCAAGGUUUAAAGUAAAGACGAAAAAGAGAAUUUAAGCGAAAAAACGAUAAAUUUUAUUAAACCUGACAAUAUGGAGAGAAUUAUAAUGACAUAGCAAUUUGGCUUAAACUAAAUUGAAAGAUGAGCCACAUAUUUAUAGUACACGAGUCAAACCCUAAAAUUAGGCCAAAGAUGGAAAGUAGGUUACAAAAUGCGUAAAAAGGAAAAAAAUUUGUCACAUCCAAAGAAGGUGAUUUUCUUUCCUUUUUCAUAGAUUCAAUUUGAUUCUCUAGAAAUCAAUACGCAUCAACCCAAUCCCUAAUUUGGGGGGGGGGGCAUAAACCUGACAAAUGCAUGUUAAAAAGAAAAUUUUGAAUUAAUUAGAUUGAUGCAUAUAAGGUGUUUUUCAAAAAGAAUGUGAAAAAGUGACAUUAUGUCACUUUUCUAAAAAAAAAACCACAGUAUCUUAUUGAAACAAUUAGUUAGAUACAUGUGCGCGCGUUUUUUUAACAUACGAAUUCGAGCUUUGCUUUAUGUUGAUACAUAUGAAAAAUAAAACUUUAAAUCAAUUAGAUUGAUGCAUGCAUGGUGUUUGCUCAAGGAGAAUGUGAAAAAGUCGGCCACUUUUCUAAAUAAAAAGUCAUAGAAUUUCAUUCAAACAAUUAACUAGAUGCAUAUAUGCGUGUUUUUGGAAGUUUGAAUAUAUAAAUUCAAGUCUGGUUUUAUGUUAAUGCAUAUGAAAAAAAAACAUUGAAUCAAUUAGAUUGAUGCAUGCAAGGUGCCUGCUUAAAGGAGAAUGUGGAUUUUGUUACUUUUCAAUGAAAAAAGUGAUAUUUUGUAACUUUUCUAAAAAAAAAAAAAAAAGUCACAAUAUUUCAUUGGAGCAAUUAACGGGAUGUAUACGUGUAUAUUUUUGAAAAUUUGAACAUACGAUUUCAAAUCUUGUUUUAUAUUAAUACAUAUAAAAAAUAAAAUUUUGAAUAAGUUAAAUUGAUGCAUACAAGGUGUUUGAGAAAAUGAUAAUAUGGAAAAGUGACAUCUCAAAAAACUCACAUUAUCUCAUUGGAGCAAUUAACUAGAUGCAUAGAUGUGUCUUUUUGGAAAUUUAUGACUAUGUUUCUCUUAUAUUAACUAACCAUAGAACAUAACUUUAUUUUAGAAACAAAAUAACCUAUAAGUUGAAAGAGACAAAAAUUCACAAAAGUGACAAAAAUUCAAAAAAACGAUAAAUUUAAAUAAAAAGUAAGACAACAUGUCAUUUUUCGUUGAUGUUGUUGACUACCAAAUUUUUUUCGAAGCAUUCAUUGUAAAAUUUGUAAUGAAUCUUUUUUAUUGAAAAACCUUGGACAUUGAAAAAAUAACAAGCCAAAUACAAUUGCUAGAACUUAAUUUAACAAUCAAAUGUCAAUUAUGUUUUAAAUCAAAUAAUUAAAAUUCUGUUUACAUCAAUUUGGAUUAUUUCGAUCAUAUAAUCAAAUAUAAAAACAUCUUGACAUUUUGAGACUGAGAUGUAACACAAUGAGCCAUAAAAUUUUUUUAUUAGAACAGCGUGAAAAGAAAAAUUAGGGACGGUCCUUUUGUAUCAUUGAUGAAUUUGAAUUUUUAAUUAAUAUAAUUGAUAAAUCCACAUUAAUGAAGGUAAUAAUAGUUAAGGAAACAAUUACACUUGUGCAGGCGCUUAACAAUGACGACAUAAUGCUCCACUUUACCGUAUUGAAUAUUGUGGAGGAAAAGUUUAUGGAAGAUAACAAGUGUAUUAAUCAAUUUUAGCAUCAAGGCUGUACUUUGCCUAAUUUCUCCAUUAUGAUUUUACGUACGGACAAUUCUCAAAAAAGUCCAUUUCUAAAUGUGGCUUUCAAAUUAAGGAAAAUUAGUGUGCUUGAGAGUCCCUAAUGAUUAAAUAAACCAAGAUGUAUUCUACAAGGAAAAUUUUUGUCACGGUUCAUAACUCGGGAUUCCGACAUCCUUCCCCAAGAAAAGCUUUAAAAUAUUUUUGUCACGGACACUGGAGCUGCAUGUACGAUAUGUGAAAAACAUAUCGAAUAAAAAUUUAAAGAUUAGAAAAAAUAUUCUCAAUACAUUUUUCAUAUUGGUGUCCAAGAAGUAUUAUUGUCAUGAAUAUCUGAGGUGUGUAUUUGUAUCGCGAGUGUAUGAUAGCAUGAAUCAAUAAUUAAUUGAUCUAAGAAUCUCAACUAUCAUUUUCACGUAGAUUCUUAUUAAAUUGUUAAUAUACUAGUCUUAUCUCAUAUUUGACUAAAAGCAAAUAAAAGUGGUUCAACUAAUUUCCUAAAUAUUUUAAUUAUAGUAAAUCUAUCUAAACGUACCUAACUAUAUCAAAUUGGGUGUUUUGCGUAUGAAUGAGAAUGUUGGAACUUUUAAAUUAACAGUAGUUAUUACAUUUAAUCUCGUCUUUCAAGAUUCAUUCAAGAUGAAGUAUUCGAUUGAAUUCUUUAUAAUUAAUCAAUUUGUCACUCUCGAAUUCAAAUCAAUCAUAUCUACCUAAGUAAAUUCACAAUUCUCUACGUGAGUCUCAGCUAAACACAUUCAAACUCCUAAGAAUGCAACUAAAAAAUGCGACAACUAUAUAAGCAUAUUUUAACACUUUUAUCUAAAUUGUCGAAUUUUACUACGUGGACUAAACUUCUAACUUACCUCUCAAUUUGUUACAAUUUCACAAUUAAAUACAAAAAUGAUCAGUUAUUUUUUUUAUUUUUUAAAAAGCGUAAAUCGUGGUUAAACGUUAAGGUCAAGUUUCAAUCUUUACGAGACUAGACAAUAUCUAGGCAUAAAAUGAUGUUUUCUUAUUUUUAAUUUUUAAUCAUUUUAAAAUUAUUUAAUAAUUAAAAUAAUAUAUGCCAAAUAUCUAAAAUUAUAAAAAUACUAUAUUUACUUAAUAAUUCCUACAGUUGGUUAAUGAAUAAAGAUAUUUGUACAAAAUCUUGUUGAGAAAAUGGUGUACUCAUUCUCACAAAAUUAGUGGACCCAACGUGAAUUUAAAAAUUCUCGGCUUGUGGUCCUUACUUCCAUUGUGAAUAUUGAGUAAGGUAGUUUGUAAAAAAAAAAAAAAAACUUUAACGUGUUUUCAUUUUUGACUUUUAUAUAGAUAAAGUCAUUUAAAAACUUGAAACCAAAGUUAAAUAAAAGGCUUUUAAAAAAGAAAAAGAAAAAAUAAUAAUAAAGCACUACUGUGCAAUUAUUGUCAAGGCAUGGCGUUUCGUCCGAGCCUCACGCCUAGGCAACACUGCUUAGACUGACUUUUUUAAGAACGCUGGUUAUUUCAUAUCAUAAGAAGUAUAAGUAAAAUCAAUACAUGAAACUUAGAUUAUAAGUAUAUUGAAAAAUGAAAUUAAAGGUCACACAUCAUUUGCACUAACUAUGAAAUUAGUUACACGAUAAUGAAAGAUGAAAGAAAAAAACAAAAAGAGAAUCGAGCGCAUCACUGGAUUUUUGAAUAAAGACGAAGAAAGACAACGAUCUUCCACCAAAGAAUCUCUUUUUUCUAAGCCUUAAUCUUAAAACCCUUGAACAUUCUUCUCACUUCUCUCUAGAUCUUGAAUUAUAUACGUUGUUCUCUAAAUUGUGCCCCCUACAAUGAAUAAAACUAUUUAUAGUAUUCUUAACAAGGUUUAAAAUCGAGGCCCAAAUUUGUAUUCAAAGUAAAAGUUGAGUUGAAGAAGGAAAAUAAUUCUAUCUUGCGAAUGAACCAUGUGAUCACACAGUGUUACAAGGUACGAUUGCAACGAAGGGCUUGCUUUGUUGCUUCGCACAUUUUAAGAACCUUGCGAUCGCAUUUAAAUAUACUGUUGCGAUCAUAGUGAUUAUAAAAUUUGUAAGUUGUGCAAUUUGGUCCUUGGAUCUCCUUUCUAGUCCAGCUUAUGUCCUCCUUAGUUGCAUUGGAGAUCCUUUGACUUUCAAACUAUACAGUUUGGUCCUCAAAAUCCAUAUUCCAUCAAACCUCAAUCUUUGUUUUAAUCGUAACACAUUCAUUUUCAUCCUUUCAAGUUCAAAAUCGAAUUCUCUCCCAAAAUAAUCACUAAACACAUAAAAUUAAAUAUCUUAACUCACUAAAGUACUCUUGAACACUCACGUUGAUUAGCCCUAAUAAGUGUAAAUCACACUUAUCAAUGUCCCAAGUAAUAAAGAUUGUCGUACCAGUCUAUUGAAAAUUGUUAUAUGACGUGGUUAAUAUAGCACUAAAGCAUGCAAAAGUCUUGAGUUAAAUUUCCCAUGCAACUCAUAUGAAAAUAUUACUUAGCCCAUUUGUCUCCUAAGUCCUAGCUCAGUUCUAUAACUCCCCAUAAUCUAGUUUUACAUAACUCUUCACAAAUUUUAUUGAAGGAUUUUGCUGUUGGGAUUGACUUAAUAAUUAAAAUAAUGCUAUUUACAGUCACUCACUAUCGCAAAUGUCCUAAUUGGCAAGCAUGUAAUGGUUAGUGAUUUGAUAUAUGUGGUAAGAAAAAAAGAUCACAUUAAUACAUUAAAUCACAAAUCGUCAUAUAGGAUACCACGUAGGAUGACUAUCACAGUGAGUGACUAUGAAUAUCAUUACUUCAAUAAUUAAGUCUAGGGACUAAUGAGAUAAAUAUGAAUACGACCAUUGAUAACGGUACAAGAGAAACAGAUUCGCCCCAAUGGUAUUAUGUAAGGAAAAAAAAAAUGAAAUUUGUUUCCUACAAGAUUUGGAAAAAGCUAAUGGCCAAUUAAGGAAGCUUAAAAAAUUAAUAAAGAAUUAUUCUUUCGUUAUUGUCGAUGGUUUAUCGACAUUUAAUUAUUAAUUUUCUUUUAUGACUCGUUUUGUGUUAUUAUUUCUACUGCAUUAGGUGGGAUCAAUUUUUCCCCACAUUAGCGAGAUUAAUCCUUUAAAUUUUUAUCAAAUUUCUUUAUAAACGGUUAGAUAAUAUUGCAACCUAAUUUCCACUUUUUACAAUAUGCAAUCCAAAAUAUAUUACAAUUGACAAUACAAAAAUGAAUUUUCGGUGAUGAUCUUUCAAACCAAACAAGUAAGUAAUCCUUAUUGAAUAUAUUGGGACCGUUACGUGAAUCUAUUUUCAGUAUUACUUUCUGUUUCUUGCUAAAUUUAUUGAGAGAUCUAUAAGAUUAAGAUCUCUAAUUAUGAAGUUAGUAAUAAAACAAACAAGAUUCCCUUCUUUUAAUUUUCAUUUAUUUAUUGCAAAUAAAUGCUUCCAGCCCUUACCCACAAAAUGUCUUUCUUUCUGGGUAGGCUCAUUUGAAUUGAUCCACUAAGGAAUUUAUCAAUCCUGCUUGAAGUACGGGACUUGUUUCACAGGUUCUUGUCAGGAUUUACACACACACAAUGGGGCUCGUCAUAGUUUUUUUUAUUACAUAUGGGGCCCGCCUGCUACAAUGAGGGACCUGGCAGGCCCCUAUGAAAUUAAUCCUUGUACUCAGGGAUUAAUUCGGAAUUUAUACAUGAAGUACUAAAUGGCAUAGGUAUUAGUUAGUAUAGUUUUCUUUUGGCUUGACCUAAACUGAAAUGUAACUAUUAUUAGGUAAUUCAAGAAAUUGAAUACAUAAAAAUGUUUUUCUUAAGGAGCCAUCCUUUUCAAAAGCUAUUAUUUCUACCUAAAUUUUUUUCGUUCACCUAUACUUUCUUCUUGUUCUUUAAAGAGUGGAAUCGAGGGCUCGUUGGCUAUUGCACUUAUUCCUCCCAACUCGUGAGACCAUACCUUUGCAACUCUUAACUUAGUAAGGAUCAGGUCAACUCUACUAAUCCUAAGAGGCCGGUCGAACCUCAGUUUGUGUUUUGGGAGGAGGAGUCCUGAGUUUUAUGAAUGGCCACAAACUGAAAGACAGGUGAAGAAAAUGGGGGGCCAAAUCUCAAAUAGUAAGUGAGUUUUUAACAUGAACAAUAAUUGCAUCACAACACCUCAUGCACUAGUAAAUGCUGAGUGAGGCAGAAAUUUAAUUCAAGUAGGCCUCCAGAUAGAUGGGCAUUUAAUAACAAGGUUACAAAAUUGGGAUGAGCUAAAAAUCGUGUGGUGUAAAAUCUCCUUUUCAUUUUAUUAUCAGACAUUGCAUCAUUUCUAUGGUUUUUUCUUUUUAAAAUAUUUUUACAUCAGUCGAGGUUUGAAAUAUAGCAAGUGACGAACUUAUUCGAUGAGGGAGUUUGAGUUCUAAUUUAAAAUGUUAAUUUUGAUAUGAUGCGCAUGCAGUUCAAGCCUUUUUGUGUUGAUUGUUGUUUUUAUAUUUGAAUGACUUUGAAUUUCACUUCCGAAAUUCUUACAAAAUGAUUUCUUAUUUGAGACUAUCAAUAUAUAAUUCAUUGGUUUGUUUGAGUUGUAGACAGAUAAAAUUGCUCAUUUGAGCUUCUUGUAUGAGUCAAUCUAGUAACACAUAAAGUCCUAUUUGGUAUAGAUGUUAGACAAAAAUUGAUCCAAAACAACAUAAGGCGGAAAACCGAUAAAAUUGCUCAUUUGAGCUUUCUGUACGAGUCAAUCUAGUAACACAUAAAGUCCUAUUUGGUACAGAUGUUAGUCAAAAAUCGAUCCAAAACAACAUAAGGUGGAAAAAAAAUGGAGAAAACUGAAUGCCCAUAAAUCGAGUUCAUACCUUUGGCCAUUCGUGUCGUUCCAAAGCUCUUCCUUUUGUUCCAUGUGUUGGAAAAAUUGGCUGACUUUGGCACGAGUUUUGAGUGGGACCCGAUUGUUUAAUUUGGAAGAUGAAAGAUGAUUUGUGUUCUCCUCUGUGAGUACAUCGAAAUCAUAUACUUACUUGCCAAAGUUGAUGCUCAGAAGAAUAAGAAAUUGAGACUCAAAAUGUGCCACUUAAAAGGGAGUUUAUGUGGGAAAAAUGAAUUUGUCCCACAUAGGAAAAAGAUGAGGAAUUCCAAAGGUCAUUGUCAUUAAUGGUAGCCUAGCCUAUAAAUAGUGGCUCAUUUUCUUCAUUUCAACACACAAAAAAAAAAAAGCAAAAGUUUUCAAGUUUAGAAUACACUAGAAAUUCAUUUGCAUAGAGUUCUCUCUUGGUGGUGGUGUAGUUCAGGCACUAGUUUAGUUCGUCAGAAUGGUUUCUGCGGUGCUUGGAAGCUACUGAUUUUACCGUUGUAUCCUGGGAAACGGACACUUGUUUUAAACCUCAAAUACGGACGGUGAGGGGGCAAAUCGAUUUUAAGGAAACUGUGUGUAACACAUGCCUCGGGUUAAAAUUCUAUGUUUCAGUUGUUUAGUUCAUACAAUUUUUCGUAUUAAAUUUACAGUCCAUGCUUCAUGAAUUUAUGAUAUAUUGUUCGUAUGCUUCAUGAAUUUUAAAUUCUAUUGGAACAAAAGUUAUUUGUUGGAAAUAAAACUUUCAAUGAUCUGGUGAAAAUUCGAUAUACGGUUGUUUGAAUUUUGUUGAUUUGCAUAGUUGCAAAAUUGAAAGGCUUUGUCAAAAAUACCUAAACUGUCUAAGAAAGGUUUGGGAUUUAAGCGGUCCGAUUGUGACCCCCUUCCUCAUCUGGGAUUCUUUUAAUUGCGCAUUAUUCAAAUUGACGAGACGAAAGACAACAUUUCCCGAUUUUAUCCACAUACACUGAAUUUCCUACAAGCUUAAAACAGAUUUUCAGAAAGGAAAAUUUGGUUUCCUAUAUGGAUUAUCUCUGAACUAAUUAGUUUCUUAUAUUUGUUAUAUUGUGGAAACUAAUUUGUUGUUUGGUUCUUUCAGAAGAUGAAAUGGCAACCGAUUCCACCAACAUAGAUUCCAACAUGGAUGUGUCCCAAGUUGAAGGUACCCAAUCUCAGGCUAUGGGUUCUACUAUGGGUGCAGGGCCUAGUUCGGCUAUGGGUGCAGCUAUGGCUGCAGUGCCUAGCUCUGUUAUGACACAGACUGUGGCUCCAAUGCCAAGUCGUGUUGUGAGCCAACAUGUGACUAAUGUUCCGGUUAAUGUACUAGUUAACCAUGGGGAAAAGCCGGAGAAAUUCAACGGCUUGAAUUUCAAGAGGUGGCAGCAGAAAAUGCUGUUCUAUCUGACCACCUUGAAUCUUACGAGAUUCUUGACUGAAAGUGCUCCAAAACUCCAAGAGGGUGAGGUGGAUGUUCAAGCUAUCAGUGUUGUUAAUGCCUGGAAACACUCGGACUUCUUAUGCCGGAAUUAGAUCAUGAACAGUUUGACAAAUUCGCUAUACAACAUGUAUAGCACCAUGAGAACUGCUAAGGAGUUGUGGGAGUCUUUGGACCGAAAAUAUAAGACUAAGGAUGCCGGGGCUAAGAAAUUUAUCGUCGGCCGAUUCUUGGACUAUAAGAUGGUGGACUCCAAAACUAUAAUCAGUCAAGUGCAAGAACUCCAAGUGAUUCUUCACGAAAUUCAUGCCGAAGGGAUGAUUCUGAGUGAAACUUUCCAAGUGACUGCAAUCAUUGAAAAAUUGCCUCCCGCGUGGAAAGAUUUCAAGAAUUAUCUGAAACACAAGCGAAAGGAAAUAAACGUUGAAGAACUGAUUGUUAGACUUCGAAUUGAAGAAGACAACAAAAGUUUCGAAAAGAAGUGGUUCAAUCCUGGUGUGGCUAAGGCCAAUAUUGUUGAACAUGGUCAAGGUAGUAAGAACUACAAAACCAAAGUUGGGCCAUCCAGUGGAAAAGGGAUCAAGCUGGGACCAAAAGGGGGCAUUCCUAAGAAGAAAUUUCAAGGGAAGUGCUUCAACUGUGACAAAGUAGGCCACAAAUCUUCGGAGUGCAGAUUGUCAAAGAAGAAGAAAGAAGCAAAUGUGGUUGACUACAUAGCACAUGAUGUGUCGGAGAUGAGUCUCGCAGUAGUCAUUUCUGAAGUGAACAUGGUGGGUUCUAACCCAAAAGAAUGGUGGAUUGACACCGGAGCUACGAAACAUGUGUGCUCUGAUAAAGAGUUAUAUACUGCUUUUGAAGUAGUUGAGAAUGGAGAGAAGUUGUUCAUUGAAAAUUCAGCAACUUCUAAAAUCAAGGGCUAAGGAAAAGUGGUUCUAAAGAUGACUUCGGGAAAAAAGCUGACUCUCAACAACGUUUUGUAUGUGCCAGAAAUCUGCAAGAACCUUGUGUCCGGGUCACUUUUGAAUAAGCAUGGUUUUCGCAUUGUGUUUCAGUCAGACAAGGUCAUCUUGUCGAAAAGUGGAAUGUUUGUCUGAAAAUGUUAUGUUUCUGAUGGAAUGUUUAAACUCAAUGUAAUGGUUGUUAAACCAAAAAUGAAUAAUAGAAUGGAUGCUUCUGUUUACUUGCUUGAGUCUUUCAAUGUGUGACAUGGUAGACUAGGACAAGUUAACUAUGAUACUUUACGUAGGCUAGUUAACUUGAAAUGCAUACCAGCAUUCCAUGUUGAUUCCAAAUAUAAGUGUGAGACUUGUAUUGAAGCAAAAUUGACUAGGUCGUCAUUUAAGUCAAUUGAACGAAAUACGGAAUCACUUGAUUUAAUUCACAGUGAUAUAUGUGAUUUAAAAUUUGUACAAACAAGAGGUGACAACAAAUAUUUCAUUACUUUUGUCGACGAUAGCACGAAAUAUUGCUAUGUGUAUUUGCUAAAAAGCAAGGAUGAAGCGAUAGAGAAAUUUGUUCUCUAUAAGAAUGAAGUUGAAAAUCAACUUAAUAAGAAAAUUAAGGUACUAAGAAGCGAUCGAGGUGGUGAGUAUGAAGCACUGUUUGUUGAAUUCUGUGCACAACACAAAAUUAUAUAUGAAAUCACCGCACCGUAUUCACCGCAACAAAAUGGUGUUGCUGAAAGGAAAACUCGCACUUUAAAGGAGAUGAUGAAUGCGAUGCUCGUAAGUUCUGGAUUACCUCAAAACAUGUGGGGGGAUGCUGUAUUAUCAACAAAUUACCUUUUGAAUAAGGUGCCCCGAAAGAAAAUGAAGAAGACCCUUUAUGAGUUAUGGAAAGGAAGAACGUCUUCCUAUAAAUACUUACGAGUGUGGGGGUGUCUAGCUAAAGUGGCUGUCCCAAUACCAAAGAAGGUGAAUAUAGGCCUGAAAACUGUAGAUUGCAUAUUCAUUGGAUAUGCACAUAAUAGUAGUGCUUAUCGAUUUUUCGUGUAUGAAUCUAAAAUCCAAGAUAUACAUAGAAACAUGAUAAUGGAGUCGAGAAACGCUUCAUUCUUUGAACAUGUGUUUCCAUGCAGGUCCGAAGAAGAGGCAAGAUCUUCUAAACGGACGUAUGAGACUAUGACUGAACAUAGUUAGGACCAAGAACUAGAAGAGGAGGUUGAGGUUGAACCUAGACGUAGCAAAAGGGAAAGGAUACAAUAAUCUUAUGGUCUAGAUUUUCUGACCUAUAUGCUAGAAAGUGAACCUCAAAGCUAUCAAGAGGCUGUGAACUCCUUGGAAGGACCUCAAUGGAAAGAGGUCAUUAAAAGUGAAAUAUAUUCUAUCCUGCAAAAUCAUACAUGGGAGCUAGUGGAUCUUCCACCAGGAAGUAAACCACUAGGCUACAAGUGGAUUUUCAAACGAAAAAUGAAAGCAAAUGGAACUAUUGAAAAGUAUAAGGUCAGGUUGGUAAUAAAAAGUUACCGAUAACGGGAAGGCCUUGAUUACUUUGAUACAUAUUCUCUAGUAACGAGAAUAACAUCCGUUAGAAUGAUACUUGCGAUUGCUGCUUUGCGAAAUCUUGAAGUACAUCAAAUGGAUGUUAAGACUGCCUUCUUGAACGGAGACUUAGAUGAAGAAAUUUAUAUGGAACAACUCGAAGGGUUUUCGUCUCCAGGGCAGGAAAAGAAAGUGUGUAAAUUGGUGAAGUCAUUGUAUGGCUUGAAACAAGCACCAAAACAAUGGCAUGAGAAAUUUGACAGUGUCAUGAUGGAGAGUGGAUUUAAGAUCAACGAGUGUGACAAAUGUGUUUACGUCAAAGACACUAAAGACAGAUAUGUCAUCUUAUGUCUUUACAUUGACGACAUAUUUAUUGUUGGCAGUGACAAUAAGAUGAUUGAAUCCACUAAAAAUAUGUUAAACUCGAGGUUUGACAUGAAAGAUAUGGGGUUAGCUGAUAUUAUACUUAGAGUGAAAAUCUCAAGAAAAUCAAAUUGGCUUGUUCUUAUGUGGACAAAAUUUUAGAAAAAUUCCAUAAGGAUGAUACUGGCUUGGCUAGAACACCAAUAGAUACUAGUCAACAUCUCUCUAAAAACAGAGGAGAAAUUAUCUCUCAAGUAGAAUACUCGAGAGUUAUCGGAAGUCUAAUGUACUUAAUGAGCUGUACUAGACCAGGCAUAGCCUACACAGUCAGUAAAUUGAGUAGAUACACGAGUAAUCCAGGAGCUGAUCACUGGAAAGGAAUAGUAAGAGUACUAAGGUACUUAAGAUAUACUCGUAAUUUUGGACUGCACUAUAGCAGAUAUCUAGCGGUCAUUGAAGGAUAUAGUGAUGCUAAUUGGAUAUCCGACAUAAAAGACUCAAAGUCCACGAGGGGAUUUGUGGUCACUUUGACAGGUGCAGCUAUAUCAUGGAAAUCUUCUAAACAAACAGUGAUAGCCAGAUCCACUAUGGAAUCUGAGUUUAUAGCUCUAGAUAAAAGUGGUGAAGAGGUUGAGUGGCUACACAACUUCUUAGAGGAUAUUCCAAGAUGGUCAAAGCCUGUGCCAACAAUUUGCAUAUAUUGUGAUAGUCAAUCGGCGAUUGAAAGGGCACAGAACAACAUGUAUAAUGGUAAGUUUAGACAUAUACGUCGUAGACAUAAUACCAUUAGACAACUACUCUCAAUUGGAGUUAUCACUAUUGAUUAUGUAAAGUCAAAGGAUAACAUUGCGGAUCCACUAACCAAAUAGUUAAAUAGAGAGUUAGUUGAGAAAUCAUUGAGAGGAAUGAGACUUAAGCCCUUGAAUGGAUAAGUUAAUACAAAGGAAAACCUAACCUAGUUGACUGGAGAUCCCAAGAUCUAGGUUCAAAGGGACAACCUAAUUGUAAAGACUUGAUAGAAUCACUGUGGGGGAUAUUACCUCCUGUCCAUUCCUGUGAUGCGACAAUGAUGCCCGUAAAGAUGGAGGAUAAGCAAUAGGCUUUUAAUGAUUCUUAUGUGUCGAAAAUUGAGCGAAGUAAUGCGAGUUACUUGUAAUAAGAAAUCACCUAUGUGAGAGAGAAGUGUGGCUGCUUCUAAGGGAAUUGUGUGGGGCACAAUUCUUGUGAACUCUCACAGAACCAGGCAUAUGUUCAUGGCCAAAAUGAACAUAAUAAUGAGAACUGAAAUGUGUUAGGAAGAAUCCUUUGUGAAGUGUAUCAUCGUUUACAUAAACGGUAGAACAGUUCAAGGACAUCGCAUCUACUGGUCAGCUAGUAAAGUAAAUAUGCUUUCACAAGCGAAGGUUCAAAGGGUAACACCUACCUAUCGUAUGCAGGUUUCAACUGUUGAACUAUAUCAACAAGUCGUCAUGUGUCACAUUCAUAAGUCGCUCUCAAUUUUCAUUCAUGUGGGGGGGAUUGUUGGAAAAAUUGGCCAACUUUGGCACGAGUUUUGAGUGGGACCCGGUUGUUCAAUUUGGAAGAUGAAAGUUGAUUUGUGUUCUCCUCCGUGAGUACAUUGAAAUCAUAUACUUACUUGCCAAAGUUGAUGCUCAGGUGAUGAGAAAUUGAAGCUCAAAGUGUGCCACUCAAAAGGGAGUUUAUGUAGGAAAAAUGAAUUUGUCCCACAUAGGAAAAAGAUGAGGAACUCCAAAGGUCAUUGCCAUUAAUAGUAGCCUAGUCUAUAAAUAGUGGCUCAUUUUCCUCAUUUCAACACACAAAAAAAGCAAAAGUUUUCAAGUUUAGAAUACACUGGAAAUUUAUUUGCAUGGAGUUCUCUCUUAGUGGUGGUGUAGUUCAGGUAUUAGUUCAGUUCGCUGGAGUAGCUUCUGCGGUGCUCGGAAUCGACUGAUUUUACUGUUGUAUUAUGGGAAACGGACGCUCAUUUUAAACCUCAAGCACGGACGGUGAGAGGGCGAAUCUGUUUUAAGGAAACUGUGUGUAACACAGGUCUCAAGUUAAAAUUCUACGUUUCAGUUGUUUAAUUCAUGCAGUUUUUCGUAUUAAAUUUACAGUCCAUGCUUCAUGAAUUUAUGAUAUAUUGUUCGUAUGCUUCAUGAAUUUAUGAUAUAUUGUUCGUAUGCUUCAUGAAUUUUAAAUUCUAUUGGAACAAAAGUUACUUGUUGGAAAUAAAACUUUCAAUGAUCUGGUAAAAAUUCGAUGUACGGUUGUUUGAAUUUUGUUGAUUUGCAUAGUUGCAAAAUUGAAAGGCUUUGUCAAGAAAACCUAAACUGUAAGAAGGGCUUGAGAUUUAAGCGGUCCGGUUGUGACCCCCUCCUCAUCUGGGAGUCUUUAAUUGCGCAUUAUUCAAAUUGAUAAGACGAAAGACAAUAUUUUCCGAUUUUAUCCACAUACACUAAAUUUCCUAUACCAGGUAGUGACACUUCUAAGCUCUCAACAUUUUAAAUUGAUGGCGUAUCUAGUGUUUUCGGUGUCAAGCUUAGGGACCAAACCCAUCUAUUCAUAUAGCCAAAACUCCUAUCAAGUUAUAGCUUAGGUUACCCUUCAAUUGAUAGUGUUGUACCAUCAAUUGCCUAUGGAGAAAUAUAGACGGGUAGAAACUGUUAUAACAAAUUCUUUAAAACUUAUUUUUUACCAUAUGUUUUCUCAAUAAAAAAAUUUAACACAUAAAUCCGUAACUUUUCCUCCAUUUUCUAAUCAUAUAUUCUCCAAAAUAAUCACUUUUUACAAAAUCUAUUAUCAAAAAAUUUACGUCAAACAAGCCCUAAAUCUUGAAAUUUUGUCUUAAAAUGUCAUUCUUGUUAAGAAUAAUACGUCAAAUCUCAAUAUAUUUUUAUUGUUGUCAGAUUUAACGGUGGAAUUGUACCAUAAAGAUUCUUGUGCAUUUUGUAGGAAAAUUAGCUGCAGAUAUCUUUCAAGAGUAGCAAUUAAAAUGUAGAAAGUAAGAAGACUCAUCGAUCGACGGCUGAUAAAGUAAAAACUUUAAUUUUUGAGGUUUUUUAUGAUUUCAAUAAAAAUCCUCCAUAAUUGCUUUCAAUUGCUAUUUUUGUACCGGCUAGUUUGACAAAAAGUAAUCAAUACUAAUUGUGAACCUCCCACAUAAAUUUCACGUUUUUACCACUCAGCUACCUAAAUUUAAUUAUUUCCGCCAAAUAUUAUAUUUAAUAACUAUUUAAAAUAUUUUAAUGCAUAGAUCACCUUAUAAUACACACUUAUAAAUGCUACAAAUCCAAUAUAUUAGGUUGUUUUGUAGAACUAUCUUCAAAUUAAAGUCUCAAAAUAAAUACGAUAUAUUCUCAAACGUUUUGACUGUUGAGAAACUUAUUUUGACAUCAACGCUAUCCAUGAAAGUUGAGACCAUAUGGUAAAAAGAAUGAAAAUUUGUUGCAGUAAAUAAUUUUAAAUCUCGAAUUUUUCAUCCAACGAGCAAUGUUUCGCGGAUAUCAAUUCACAUAAUAAAGCUUCCAAAGUCAGUAAUCUUUUGUUAAAAUAUUUGCGUAGUAGAGAUUUUUUUUUUCUGAUUAUAUUAUCAUGGAGAAUAUAUAUGAACAAGACGAUGGUCAAAUAAAAAAGUAUACGUAAUCAUCAAAAAAUAAAUAUAAAUAAUAAUUUUACCCGAGAUUUGAUGUAUUUAUAUAAGAAGAACAUGUAAAUAUUUUGACUUCAUAUUUCAAACAUGGAUGCGUCUAUGCAUUCAAGCUAAAGCAAUGACUUGCCCACUAUUUUGAUUAGAAACUGUUAUAUUUGAAUCAAGAGCGGAAAUCAUCAACCUCACAAUUAACCAUGGAAAACAAGAUUUUUGACAAAUGCCGAACUUCUUUUUCUCAUUCUCAUCUCUUUCUUUCCGAACCCUAUUGUUGAAAUUGUGAAAGACAUUAUGUGUUACAUGAUAUAAUAUUGUCACAUGGGAACUUGUAAUGCAAUAACUUGCCAUGGAACAUGUUGUUCAUUUGACCAUGAUAAUAAUGUCAAAUUUGUUAGGAAUGUGUUUUUCAAACUUGUCGCUCAAUAAACCAACUAGCAUUGAUGGGGUGUAGGACCUCAAUAGGUCACUGAGUUCAACUUUUGAAAAUGUAGGACUCUAAUAGGUCAAUCAGUUGAACUUUUGAACUUAAGUCUUGUCAUUACUUAAAAAAUGUUGAACCCCAAAUCCUGAGAGCCCCACCGUCUCGUCCCUAAAGUUUUGUGAGGGAGGUAAAUCGCGGGAUGUGCCCCAUCAGGUCAGGGAACAAGAGCUGCAUGUACACUGCGCCUAUAAGGAGUCCAAUUCCAUGUCUCAGGAAUCGAAUCUCCACACUGCGAUUGCCAGCAAGGCGUGAGACAACCUCACUCCUGUCUUUUGCACCACUAGACUAUGCCCCGGGGUACAAGUCUUGUCAUUACUUAUAUAAACUUUUGCUAGUGUCCUGCAUUUGAUUAAAAGACAUGCAAGUGAGGGAGCGGUAGAAGACACAAGUUAAGUGAGAGGGCUCAACAAAGCAAAGUCAGGGUUAAUUUGGAUAGUGAAAAUAAAUUUAUGAAAAUUUUGAAUUUUGACAAUGUUCACUCAUUAUACAAGUUCAUGGCAAAUCAUCAAUGACAUCCUUGUCUAUGCUCUAAAUAAGAGAGACACAAGAAGCAUUAGACUGUAGUACUAUUUAGAUGCUCACUUGAAUCGUACGUAAAAAUCAACCAAGUGAAAUUUGGUUGACUCGACUCAUCUUUUUGGGGAAUGUGGUCAUGAUGGGGGAUAUAUUUAUGCAAAUACUCUUUCAUAGUUACAGUAUUAAGGUCUGUACGUUAUCUAUUACAAUUUCCAGUAGGUUAUAGAAAUUUAUAAGAAAGAGAUACAAUUUGGAGGAAUAGACAAAUAUAGCACUAAAAUGCGGCAACUUAUGUUCUGUACAUAUUUUUGUGAACUUUCAAUUGGCAGCUAAUUUCCACGGACGGCUAUUCGAACAAAACAAAACAAAACAAGUGAAAAUCACACACCACACAUGAUUUUUAACUUUUCAAUUCAAAAAUCAGGCGAUAAUUUAAAUUCUUAAUAAUAAUAAUAUUAUUAUAAAAUUAAAUUAAUCAAUACAUACCCACCCUACCCAAUUUUACCAUCCAAGCGUAAAUCAUUAUUCUCUCUCUUCUUCCUCUAUCUAUCAUUCCCCUUCCCUAUUCUCACUUACAUUUUCAUUUUCCCUAGCAUUGCUCAGUGAUGAUGAUCCGAUCUGCUUCUUAGUUGGAGCUAUGAAGUGAUUUUUGUUGAUGGUUGUUCGUGUUUUGCAAAUGGUGAUGAUGGUGGUGCAAGUGAUCAUGAUGGUCUUCCUGACGAUUGUGGUGCUAGCAACUGUGGUGCAGAUGGCAAUGCUACUGGCAGUGGUGGUGUUGUACCGACAGUGGUGGUGAGGUGGCACGACAUUGGUGUCGAUGGUGGAUUGGGGUUUGGGAUAGGGUAGGUUGGAUGAAGAGAGUUUGUGACCAAUUAUUUGAAUAAAUGUGACUAAUAAAUUAAUUUGUUAUCAAUAAAUAAUAUGUAAUCGAUAAAAAAGAUAAUUUGUGAUCAAUAAAUAAUAUGUGCCUAAAAAAUGUGAAAUUGCAAGUAAAUUUAUAAUCCCGACUCAGAAUUUGUUUAGUUGUACCCAAAUAAUUUGAUAAUUUGUGAUAGAGAAAUAACACGUGACUACUUAAUUUGAUAAUUAAUGAUUGUGAAAUAAAUUGUGAUAUAUAAAGUUUACUAUUUAUGAUCCAAAAAUAAUGCAUGACCAUUAAUUUGAGAAUUUAUGAUCGAUAAAUAAAUUCUGAUGUUUAAAAUUCUGAUUUGUGGUUGAAAAAUAAUGCGGGCCCAAUUAAUUUGAUAAUUUGUAACAGAUAAAUAAGUUGUGAUCUAUAAGUACGUAAUUGUGAUAAUAAACUAUAUAAUGUUGUGACCUUAAUAAUUUAAUUAGUAAAUUUUUUAUUAUUUAUUUAAUUAAUAAAAUUUAAUUAUGAACCGAUUUUUGAAUUUUGAAAUUAUAUUUUGCAACUACCUUAAAUAUGUAUUGUUAAAUGAGACAAAAAAAAAAAAAAAAUUCAAAAGAUGUCUAUUUAAUUAUUGAAAAAAAUAUAUAAAUAUAUGUUUAACAAUCUCUAAAAAUGUGUCCCCUUGUCCUUCCUUUUGUUAAGAUAAAUUUCCAAAUGGUGUGUGAUCACAUGAUUGAGUCCUUAAUAGUAUUGUGGAAGUAUGAGCCAGCCCCAUGUGGACUCUGGAGGCUUUGAACUCAUCAAAAUGCUCUUUGUCUCAGAGAUAAUCAGAGACUUUGAGAGAUCCCCUCGUGCGCCUCACGCUCAUCCUCCACCCCUACAGUAUCUUUGACCAUACACAAAUAUAUUAUUUUUGAGAAAUGAUUUAAUAAGCACUGGUGCUCAUCUCAUACACACAUAUUAAUUUAUUGAUGGAUAAUAAAUUUAAUUCAAAUGUUAGAAUUCACAAAAUCUUUAUUCAUCAAUAAAUUAAUAUGACACAUCACCACUGCUUAGUAUAAGAUGAGUAUCGGUGCUUAUUAGAUCAUUUCUCUAUUAUAUAUAUAUAUAUAUACUCGUACACAUAUACAUAUAUGUGUAGAUGUACAUACUUACAUGUAUAAGAAUGUAUAUCAAGAGAGGACCCUAGGUUAGGUGGGAUCAUCUACUGAGUUUAAGCUCUUAUGAUGAUGAACAAAUCAUUAAAAGUCUAGCUUGAGAAUCGAUAAAUUUACAUGUCAAGUUGUGCUAUGGAUAAACAUCUUCAGCGAUGGUGAAAAAAUGAUGGACAAACACAUAUGAGAAGAAAUCGAAUGUCGUGGAAUUAAAAUUCGCUACUUCUCUUCUAGCAUGAAGAAAUCAAGAUUCAUAAAUUCUCAAAAGUCAAAGUCAAAUUGAUGAAAGUAUUAGUAGAGAGGAGAGUUCGACCAAAUAUCAAAAUUCCUACAAUCAUAAAAGUGGAAGUUGAAUCAAUGAAAGUAUUAGUAGACAACGAGAAUUUGAUGCCCAAAUAUCAAGAUUUGUAUAACAUAGAAUUCGAAGUUGAUUCAAUGAGAGUAUUAGUAGAGAAUGAGAAUCAAUAUUCGAACAAUCUUAAAAGUCGAAGUUGAAUUAAUGAAAGUACUCGCAAAGAAUAAGAGUUCGACCACCAAAUACUCGAUCAAGACUUCAAUUGUAAAAAAGUUUGAAAUUUUAAAUCUAUUUAUCUUAAAAUAUUAGGUAUGUAUUCAAAAUUAUUCAAUGCUACACAAUUCAACAACAAGAGAGCGUGGAUUAAACAAUCAAAAUAAAAAAUUAUUUGCAUUAAAAAAAUUUAGAAUCUAGUUUUUUAAAGUGAAGAACAUGCGUGCAAGUCCAAGGAACUAGACAAAUUUGUUCACGUAUACAUAUAAAUAUAUGUGGUAGUCGGUCCAUUGGAUCCUUUGCACGUGAGAUUCAUUACUCCAAUGGUAAAAAUGCCAACGUCACUCCAUUUGUCACAUGGAAAUGGACACUUUCCUCUUGUAUUUUACAAGGUUAUCUUGAAUUUAAUGAAUAAUAAACUUCAAUUUUGGAAUUAACAAGAGCUAGAUUUGUAUAUUAGACGAAAAAUUACUAACUAUUGUAUUGUAAAUUAACCUAUUUAAUCAGUAUUAUUUAGUUUAACGUACCAAAUAUUUAUUCAUAAUUAUUUAAAAAAAAGGAUAAUUAUCCAAAACCUUUUAAAAAAAUGUGAACAAAUUAAAAUUAUUAGUACUUCGAUUCUAAUAUAAAGGUUUCUUUUAUUGUUAUUACUAGUGAAUUUCAUUUGCUAUAAAAAAAAAAUGAAAGAAGUGGCAAAGGGAUACCCCAGUCAUUUUGUAUUUCGAACUAGAUAAUCUUUUUAAAUAAAAUUAUUUCAAGAAUUUACGUAAUUCAAUGUUAGAAAUGCAAAUUUUUAAAGGAAAAAAAUUCAUAUAAAUUGUUAAUGUCGAAACAAAAAUUGAAAUUUUAGAUUUUAAAUUGUAAAGAAUUGACUGUAGGCUUUUAAAUUUAUUGAGAUAAUAACCCAAAUAAUCACUGAUCUUUGUAAAAAGUUUUCACAGAAUUACUGAACUUUAAAAAUCAUCCAAAUCAUCACUGAACUUUGUAAAAGGUUUUCACAGGAUCAUUGAACCUUAAAAAUCACCUUGUUCAGUAAUCUCGUGGAAACAUUUUGUAAAUUUCAGUGAUGAUUUGGAUAAUUUUUAAAGUUCAGUAACCCCUUGACAACUUUUCGUAAAGUUCAAUGAUCAUUUGGGCUAUUAUCUCAAAUUUAUUUCAUAGAGAAAAGUUGUCAAUAUUUUUGGAAAAUUUUACUGUAUAAUAUAUUUUUGCUUUUGUUAGAUUCAUUUUUUUCGUUAAAUGUUUUUUUUUUUUAAUUCUUUUUUCUCGUUAGAUGCCUUCUGUUCGAAUUCUUCAUGAACUAAUGGAGAUAAUACUUAAACUUGAGAAUUGAGAUUUGAACUUACAAUUUCCAUUUCCUCUUAUAUAAUGUUGUAUCGUAUCGUUUAAAAGUUUAAAUUUUAUAAAGUCUAUGAAUAUACGUAAAGUUGAUGGUAGGUUAAGAGGGCUGAGAUAGUCGAGCUCCAAGAUUACCCCAUGGUUAAAGGUACAAGAAAAAGGUGCCCUCAAAAUUGGGAAUGAGAAUUAAAAAUAAAUUAGCCCAUUAAUGUCCCUAUUUAGUAGUGCUCAAUGACUUGUAUUUGUCUGUGAAAUUAGCUUAUAGCCAACAGUGUUCCAUUAUUUAAGCACAGUUUUCCAGUAGUGGGAGUGGUUUUUGGAUUGUUGUCAUCUUUAAAUCCCAGAAACCGAGUUUCCUCGUACUUGUCUUGUCUAUGUACAUAAUUGAUGCAAUUCAUUUGGAAAUGUUUUUGAACGACGAAGAGACGUUCAAAAUAUAACGUUUAAAUAAAUACACUUAUUUUCUUUCUAGUAACUUAAACUUUCUAUAUAUAUAUAUUCUUCCCGAGUUCCCAAUAUUUUGUGUUUUCUUUUCUUUUCUUUUCAAUUUUUUCUUUUGCAUUCCAUUUUCUGCUAUCUUAAUUUUUUGGAAUAUUUCAUGCUUUUUUUUUUUUCUUUUUUUCUUUUUCCAUUUCUUUAUAAUGGUUUUCUUGUAUGCAUGGAAAUGACUUAGUUUGAAAUAAGAGUGCGUUUGAUUGCCUAUAUUUUUCAUGGAAAAUGUAUUUUUUCUACUCAAAUUCCUACUUUUGUGUUAUUUGAUUGCUAUUUUUUUCAUGAAAAUAUUUUCUCACUUUUAGUCACAUGACCAUAUUUUUCUCAAAAUCAAAGAAAAUAUUUUCUUUAGAAAGAGUAGGAUUUUAUUUUCCACGAAAUUCACUCUCUCUUAUUUAUCCACUCUCUUUCAUUAAUCCACUAAUGAAAAAUGAACAAAUAUAAUAUUUUCUAGGUUGAAAAUUAAACCAAUCAAAUACAUUUAAUUAACAAUUUCCAUACAAAUAAAUUCUAGGCAAUUGGAUUAUCUAGAAUUUAUUUUCUUUCAAUGCUAAUUCCAUGCUUGCAAUCAAACUCACCCUAAGUUCUACAAAACCUAUUUGCAUCAUAAUCCUAGCUAGGGAAGAAAAGAAUAUUUAAACUCAACAUGUUGUUAAUGAUUACAAGAGCAUGAAUAAGUCAAAAUGAAUGAAAAUUUGGUUCAUAAGAGUGCUAUUUGUAUGUAUAGACUACAUUAUUUUUUAUCCUCAGUGCAUUCUUACCUACCCAUGAUAUUAUUGUCUUUUUAUGAGUAUAUUUUCAGGCCAAAAAAAUUGUUCUUAUCUUGGAGGUUUGAGAUCAAUGUUUAGACUAUAGUGCUUUUAUGAGACGAAUUAUGAAAUUUUUAUUUCAUCAAUUUUUUUAAAUCAUACAAAAUUUUCAGAGUUCUUGAAUCUCCUUCAAGAGAGCGAUACACCGUUUCAUUAAAAUUUAUUGUUUAAAUAUUAAAAGUUGGUGGUGG
rnacentral:lncRNA from 1 species